rnacentral:rRNA from 1 species
UACGGAGGGUGCAAGCGUUAUCCGGAUUCACUGGGUUUAAAGGGUGCGUAGGCGGGCAGGUAAGUCAGUGGUGAAAUCUCUGAGCUUAACUCAGAAACUGCCGUUGAUACUAUCUGUCUUGAAUACUGUGGAGGUAAGCGGAAUAUGUCAUGUAGCGGUGAAAUGCUUAGAUAUGACAUGGAACACCUAUUGCGAAGGCAGCUUGCUACACAGUAAUUGACGCUGAGGCACGAAGGCUAGGGUAGCGAAAGGG